UUUUAAGGUGGAAAUACUCAGUUCAACCUAUGAUACAUCUUCAAAAACACCAUAAAAACAAGUUGAUGAGGGGAGUGAAUCCAGAAUCACACUGGUCUGGAGUGGAGAAGACGUCACUGAGAUUCUAGCUUUCAUUUCGUCUUUUUCUGCUCAUGAUUCGGCCUCAGGAUCACUCGUGACCGGCAUCAGUGGUAGAAGACGAUGGAGGAGGAAGAAUCAUGUGAUUUUAAUUCAUCCAAUAUUUACACAACUGUGGUAGGUACACAGACAGGCUGAAAAUAUUACCAAACAAUCAUUUUACUUGGGCGUUUAUAUCUUUUUUUCAUUUUCAAUUUAAACAGAAAAUAUGCAUCAAAGUCUGGUGUU